rnacentral:rRNA from 1 species
GAUAAACGCUGGCGGCGUGCCUAAUACAUGCAAGUCGAGCGAACGGACGAGAAGCUUGCUUCUCUGAUGUUAGCGGCGGACGGGUGAGUAACACGUGGACAACCUACCUAUAAGACUGGGGUAACUUCGGGAAACCGGAGCUAAUACCGGAUAAUAUUUUGAACCGCAUGGUUCAAAAGUGAAAGACGGUCUUGCUGUCACUUAUAGAUGGAUCCGCGCUGCAUUAGCUAGUUGGUAAGGUAACGGCUUACCAAGGCAACGAUGCAUAGCCGACCUGAGAGGGUGAUCGGCCACACUGGAACUGAGACACGGUCCAGACUCCUACGGGAGGCAGCAGUAGGGAAUCUUCCGCAAUGGGCGAAAGCCUGACGGAGCAACGCCGCGUGAGUGAUGAAGGUCUUCGGAUCGUAAAACUCUGUUAUUAGGGAAGAACAUAUGUGUAAGUAACUGUGCACAUCUUGACGGUACCUAAUCAGAAAGCCACGGCUAACUACGUGCCAGCAGCCGCGGUAAUACGUAGGUGGCAAGCGUUAUCCGGAAUUAUUGGGCGUAAAGCGCGCGUAGCGGUUUUUUAAGUCUGAUGUGAAAGCCCACGGCUCAACCGUGGAGGGUCAUUGGAAACUGGAAAACUUGAGUGCAGAAGAGGAAAGUGGAAUUCCAUGUGUAGCGGUGAAAUGCGCAGAGAUAUGGAGGAACACCAGUGGCGAAGGCGACUUUCUGGUCUGCAACUGACGCUGAUGUGCGAAAGCGUGGGGAUCAAACAGGAUUGGAUACCCUGGUAGUCCACGCCGUAAACGAUGAGUGCUAAGUGUUAGGGGGUUUCCGCCCCUUAGUGCUGCAGCUAACGCAUUAAGCACUCCGCCUGGGGAGUACGACCGCAAGGUUGAAACUCAAAGGAAUUGACGGGGACCCGCACAAGCGGUGGAGCAUGUGGUUUAAUUCGAAGCAACGCGAAGAACCUUACCAAAUCUUGACAUCCUUUGACAACUCUAGAGAUAGAGCCUUCCCCUUCGGGGGACAAAGUGACAGGUGGUGCAUGGUUGUCGUCAGCUCGUGUCGUGAGAUGUUGGGUUAAGUCCCGCAACGAGCGCAACCCUUAAGCUUAGUUGCCAUCAUUAAGUUGGGCACUCUAAGUUGACUGCCGGUGACAAACCGGAGGAAGGUGGGGAUGACGUCAAAUCAUCAUGCCCCUUAUGAUUUGGGCUACACACGUGCUACAAUGGACAAUACAAAGGGCAGCGAAACCGCGAGGUCAAGCAAAUCCCAUAAAGUUGUUCUCAGUUCGGAUUGUAGUCUGCAACUCGACUACAUGAAGCUGGAAUCGCUAGUAAUCGUAGAUCAGCAUGCUACGGUGAAUACGUUCCCGGGUCU